CUACGGGGCGCUGCAGUGAGGAAUAUUGCACAAUGGACGAAAGUCUGAUGCAGCAACGCCGCGUGGAGGAUGACACAUUUCGGUGCGUAAACUCCUUUUAUAUAGGAAGAUAAUGACGGUACUAUAUGAAUAAGCGCCGGCUAACUCCGUGCCAGCAGCCGCGAUAAUACGGAGGGCGCAAGCGUUACUCGGAAUCACUGGGCGUAAAGAGCGUGUAGGCGGAUAGAUAAGUCAGGAGUGAAAUCCUAUGGCUCAACCAUAGAACUGCUCUUGAAACUGUCUAUCUAGAAUAUGGGAGAGGUAGAUGGAAUUUCUGGUGUAGGGGUAAAAUCCGUAGAGAUCAGAAGGAAUACCGAUUGCGAAGGCGAUCUACUGGAACAUUAUUGACGCUGAGACGCGAAAGCGUGGGGAGCAAACAGGAUUAGAUACCCGCGUAGUC
rnacentral:rRNA from 1 species